rnacentral:rRNA from 1 species
AGCAGCCGCGGUAAUUCCAGCUCCAAUAGCGUAUAUUAAAGUUGUUGCAGUUAAAAAGCUCGUAGUUGAAUUUCGGGAUUGACGUGAUGGUCGUGCCUUAAGGGGUAUGAACUGUUGCUGUUGAUUUCUCACCUUCUGGAGAAACUUGAUGUCCUUAAUUGGGUGUCUUGCGGAUCCAGGACCUUUACCUUGAAAAAAUUAGAGUGUUUAAAGCAGGCAUUUUUGCUCGAAUACAUUAGCAUGGAAUAAUAGAAUAGGACGGCAUGGUUCUAUUUUGUUGGUUUCUAGGAUCACCGUAAUGAUUAAUAGGGAUAGUUGGGGGCAUUAGUAUUCAAUUGUCAGAGGUGAAAUUCUUGGAUUUAUUGAAGACUAACUACUGCGAAAGCAUUUGCCAAGGAUGUUUUCAUUAAUCAAGAACGAAAGUUAGGGGAUCGAAGACGAUCAGAUACCGUCGUAGUCUUAACCAUAAACUAUGCCGACUAGGAAUCAGACGAUGUUAAUUUUUAAUGUAC